ACCCGCUGAACUUAAGCAUAUCAAUAAGCGGAGGAAAAGAAACCAACAGGGAUUGCCCCAGUAACGGCGAGUGAAGCGGCAACAGCUCAAAUUUGAAAUCUGGUCCCCCCGCGGGGCCCGAGUUGUAAUUUGAAGAGGAUGCUUCUGGCAAGGUGCCGUCCGAGUUCCCUGGAACGGGACGCCGCAGAGGGUGAGAGCCCCGUACGGUCGGACGCCGAGCCUCUGUGAAGCUCCUUCGACGAGUCGAGUAGUUUGGGAAUGCUGCUCAAAAUGGGAGGUAAACCCCUUCUAAAGCUAAAUACCGGCCAGAGACCGAUAGCGCACAAGUAGAGUGAUCGAAAGAUGAAAAGCACUUUGAAAAGAGAGUUAAAAAGCACGUGAAAUUGUUGAAAGGGAAGCGCUUGCGACCAGACUCGCGCCCGUCGGAUCAGCCGUCGCUCGUCGGCGGCGCACUCCGGCGGGCUCGGGCCAGCAUCAGUUCGCCUCGGGGGGAGAAAGGCGGCGGGAAUGUGGCUCUACGGAGUGUUAUAGCCCGCCGCGUAAUACCCCCGGGCGGACUGAGGACCGCGCGUAUGCAAGGAUGCUGGCGUAAUGGUCGUCAGCGACCCGUCUUGAAACACGGACCAAGGAGUCGUCCUAAUAUGCGAGUGUACGGGUGUCAAACCCCUGCGCGUAAUGAAAGUGAACGGAGGUGAGAGCUUCGGCGCAUCAUCGACCGAUCCUGAUGUUCUCGGAUGGAUUUGAGUAAGAGCAUAUUGGGCCGGACCCGAAAGAAGGUGAACUAUGCCUGUGUAGGGUAAAGCCAGAGGAAACUCUGGUGGAGGCUCGCAGCGGUUCUGACGUGCAAAUCGAUCGUCAAACAUGGGCAUGGGGGCGAAAGACUAAUCGAACCUUCUAGUAGCUGGUUUCCGCCGAGUUY
rnacentral:sRNA from 1 species